GCAACAACAAGUUGAGUUCAUACCCGCUUCUCUCUGCCACAGUCACACAUCAAAUAUCAUCAUUAUUGCCUUUCACUUGUACGACCAAAUGAUAUGAAAAUAAUAAUAGUGCAAGAGUGUCGUGGACUAAGCUAGAAUCUGCAAACAUUUUAUUCAAAAGAACAAGAGAAGGUAAUUUAGGCUCUUUGUUAGGUCAACAGUGAUGCAAAUGAGAGCCACUCAACAUUUUCAUCAUGGUCUUCUCCUUGGUAUGACUCAACAAAAAGGAAAAUAAAUUUAGAGAAACACACUAAAAUAUUUUUGGAUAUUUUAGUUUUUCUUGAAGAAAGCAAAUUAAAGAAGGGGAAACAAAAACGAGAAAAACUAUUUACAUGGGACAACUCACAACAAACAAAAGAAGAUUUGGGAAAUCUUUUUGGGUUUUCUUUUGAUACUACAACUAAUUAAGCUAGAAAGAAAAACCGAAAAGAAGCAAGACAUAUUUUUGGAUUUUCUCAAAGUUUUCAAAACACACAAGAAGAAAGCGAGAAAAUAAAUCUAGCAUGGAUAAUACAAUGAAAGAGUGUGAACACCAACAACUGGAAUGAAAUGUGUGAACAUGAAUGUAAUGUCAGUGGAAAUCCGUACUCCCCCAAGCUUAGGCUUUUGGCCUAGCUUGGUAAUCACCAGUUGUGGCCUGCAUAGUAGAUAGAGUGAUAGCUCACGGAAGCUCUUGGUGCAGUCCUCUCAGCUUGUCGAGCUGCCUUGAUCUCCGCCUUGUACAAGCGGGCCUCGCUCUCAUCAACAUAAUAUCUUUCUCUACUUUAAUAAUUAAUGAGAGCAGGCGCAAGCAGAACGAUAAGCACAAUAGUUUCUUUAUUAAACCUCAAGUUAUAAGUGUAAUCAGUGAUUGUGCCCUUAAGUAACUUAUGGUGCUUCAUGACCUCAAAGUCUAAGUAUUGAGUAGGUAAAAUGGGAUCAUAAGGUAGAGGUGUAACACCAACCUCUUUAGCUACACGAGAAGCGUAAUCCCACCAUAAAAGUAACCACUAGUAGCAUCGUGUUGCAACCUUCGUGCAAUGAUUGCUCCAAGAUUAUAGCAUUUAAUUCUAGUCAAAGCAGUGUGUAUGAGGCUUAAGUCAGGGGCACAUAGUGUGCUGCAAUCCUGCUUGCCUACGAUGCCUUUGCCAUUAAAGAGUGUGAAGUAGUGAAUUUAUGGGAAAUGGAUACUUUUUAUUCUUCCUUGUUUCACUCCUCUAUCCUCACGUAACAAAGACUAGUCAAAAAUGACUCAUACUCAGAUCUUGGUGGCUCGUCCAGCGAACCCGAAUAUGGAAUUUUGCAAGCAUUACAGAAUGCAUCUAGAGGCAUGGAAAAAGACUGGUCAUAAAGACUAAACGAGACUCUAGGCUCACGAGGAUGAUAUUUCAAUUUCUUAGUGAACAUUUCUGUGAGGUUGAGAUGUUGGAUGCACUUAUCUUCGAUGUAGGGACCGAGCUCGGCGUUGCGGACAUACUUCUCAAAUUCUUCUUUAAUACAUACACUCACCAUGAAAUUGUUUCAUGGCCAUAUAUAGGCAUGAUUUGGUAGUGGCAUCCCGCAUUGAGCUCGCACUUGGCUCAACAUAGGACCGACGAAUCGAGCUACUACUUGAUGAUGCCUCCGUAGAUCUCCUCCUCAAAGAAUUCCUAAAGAAUUGCAUUUUAUUUACAAACAAUUUCUAAAAAAAUUGGGACACAAAAUUUUUGUCAACAAAACUUCAUAAGAUUGAUAGCAACUACUCAUAAGGAUGCCUGUAGGCCAUAUUGAGCAUUCAAACUACAUAGAACUAUAAGAAUUCAACAUGCAAGGCCAUUUACUGUAGCGCCAAGAGUAGGUAAUUAUUUGAAACAUAAACCGCUAGAGCAAAAACUAAUUGGGGCAAUGGAGGAGUCACAUACCAAGUAACAAUACCCCAAAACAGUUUUGGAAACGGAGCUUCGAGCAAAGAGAUCGAAAUCCGUGGGUUUGAGAGCAAGAACACAAGAGAGAGAGAGAGAGAGAGAGAGGGAGAGAGAGAGAGCUAUGGUGAUUUUUUCUAGAGGUAGGAGUUGACACGGGCUAAAGAGGGAAGUGAGGGGACCCAUGUGGGGGCCACAACCCACCAGGGCGCUUGGGGUUGCUGGUGCGCCCUGGUGUAAUGUGGUCACCACGGGCACCCCCCUCUGAUGUUAUUUUUGCCAGAAAUUAAGAAAUAUUCAGAAAAAAUCAUGUUAAAAUUUCUGCGCAUUCUGAGAACUUUUUAUUUUUUGGCACAUAUUUUAUUGCACGGAAAAUUCAGAAAACAGGGUAAGCAUGGCAUAUUAUUUUAUUUAACUAAGAAAAACAUAAAACAAAAGUUAGGGACAGAAGGUUGUGCCUACUAAAUUCAUCAACUUCAUAACUCUAAAAGAUGAUCCAUUAAUAAGGUUGAUCAAGUCUUAUUAACAACCACCUUCGAUUAGCAUGAAACCGACAAACUUUCGUAGAACACUAAGCUACCUCAAUGGGGAUAUGCAUGCCCCCAACAAUAAGUAUUUCAUAUUUCUUUUUGGCAGUGGGUAGAGGUAGUUGAAAACUUCCAAUAUUGAGUGUCGGAGAUUUUUCAAUAACAUUAAUACCAUUCAGUAGGAAUUGUUUCUUCGGGAAGUGCACCGAUGCUCAUUAUAAAUAACAGCCCCUCUAGUAUUCAAAAAGGGUCUACCAAGGAUAAUCGACAUGUUGUUGUCCUCGGGUAUCUCAAGAAUAACAAAGUUCAUUAAGAUAGUAACAUUUGCAACAACAAUAACGGGCACAUCCUCACAAAUACUGAUAGGUAUGACAGUUGAUUUGUCAGCCAUUUGCAUAGAUAUUUUAGUAAGUGUGAGUUUAUUCAAAUCACGUCUUUUCAUAUAAACAGAAAGGCAUAACACUAACACCAUCUCCUAAAUCACGAAAGCAGUUUUGACAUAAUUUAUUUUGAUGGAGCAAGGUAUAGUUGGUAUUCCUGGAUCUCCAAGUUUUUUAGGCACUCCAUCCUUAAAAGAAUAAUUAGCAAGCAUGGUAGAGAUUUCAUCUUCAGGUAUCUUUAUUUUAUUUGUGAUGAUGUCUUUCAUGUAUUUUGCAUAUGGGGCCAUCUUCAAAUAUAUCAGUCAAGCGAGUACACAAAAAGACUGUCCUAAGCAUUUCAGCAAAGCAUUCAAAUUCUUCAUCAUCUUUUUUCUUAGAUGGUUUAGGUGGAAAGGGCAUGGGUUUCUGAAUCCAUGGCUCUCUUUCUCUGCUAUGUUUCUGAAGGAAAUAUGCCCUAGAGGCAAUAAUAAAGUUGUUAUUUCUGUAUUUCCUUAUUCAUGAUAAAGGUUUAUUAUUCAUUCUAGAAUUGUAUUGAUCGAAAACUUAAAUACAUGUGUGAAUACAUAAACAAAUAUUGUGUCCCUAGUAAGCCUCUACUUGACUAGCUCGUUGAUCAAAGAUGGUUAAGGUUUCCUAAACAUAGACAUGUGUUGUCAUUUGAUAACGGGAUCACAUCAUUAGGAGAAUGAUGUGAUGGACAAGACCCACCCGUUAGCUUAGCACAUUGAUUGUUCAGUUUUUUGCUAUUGCUUUCUUGAUGACAAAUACAUAUUCCUUCAACUACGAGAUUAUGCAAAUCCCGUAUACGGAGGAAGACCUUGUGUGCUAUCAAACAUCACAACAUAAUUGGGUGACAAUAAAGAUGCUCUACAGGUAUCUUCGAAGGUGUUUGUUGAGUUGGCAUAGAUCGAGAUUAGGAUUUGUCACUCCGAGUAUCGGAGAGGUAUCUCUGGGUCCUCUCGGUAAUACACAUCAUAAGAAGCCUUGCAAGAAAAGUGACUAAGGAGUUAGUUGCAAGAUGAUGUAUUACAAAACGAGUAAAGAGACUUGCCAGUAAUGAGAUUGAACUAGGUAUGAAGAUACCGAUGAUCGAAUCUUGGGCAAGUAACAUACCGAUGGACAAAGGGAAUUAUGUAUGUUGUCAUAUGGUUCGACCGGUAAAGAUCUUCGUACGAUAUGUAGGAGCCAAUAUGGACAUCCAGGUUCCGUUAUUGUUUAUUGACCAGAGAGAUGUCUCGGUCAUGUCUACAUAGUUCUUGAACCCAUAGGGUCCGCACGCUUAACGUUCGUUGAUGAUAUAGUGUUAUAUGAGUUAUAUGAUUUGGUGACCGAAUGUUGUUCGGAGUCACGGAUGAGAUUACAGACAUGACAAGGAGUCUCAAAAUGGUCGAGAGGUAAAGAUUGAUAUGUAGGACGAUGGUAUUCGGACACCGGAAGAGUUUCAGAGUGCAUCGGGUAGUCAUCGGGUCGCUGGAAGGGGUUCCGGACACCCCCGGUAAGUGUAUGGGCUUAAUGGGCCAAAGGAGGGGACAGACCAGCCCACUAGGGGGCUGGUGCACCCCUCUAUAUGUCUGGCCGGCCCUAGGGGAAGGAAAGGGGAAGGGUGGCCCCUCCUGCCUUUCCCUCCUCAUGAGAGAAAGGAAGGGGGGCGCCUCCUCCUCGUGCCUUCCUCCCACACUCAUAUAUGGAAGGGGGCGCAGCUUGGGGAAGUCCCCAAGUAGGAUUUGUUCCUACUUGGGGAGCCCCUUGGCCUCUCUCCUCUCCCCCACCUAUAUAUAUGUGGGAGGGGGGCGCCACACAUAACCACGACAAUCUCUUAGCCAUGUGUGGCGACCCCCUCCACCGUUUACACCCUGGUCAUAUUGUCGUAGUGCUUAGGCAAAGCCCUGCGGAGAUAGCAUCACCAUCACCGUCACCACACUGUCGUGCUGCCGGAACUCAUCCACUACCUCGUCGUCUUACUGGAUCAAGAAGGCGUGGAUGUCACAGAGUUGAACGUGUGCUGAACGCGGAGGUGCCGUACGUUCGGUACUCGAUCGGUUGUAUUGCGAAGAAGUUCAACUACAUCAACCGCGUUACUAAACGCUUCCGCUUACGGUCUACGAGGGCACGUAGACACACUCUCCCCUCUCGUUGCUAUGCAUCUCCUUGAUAGAUCUUGCGUGUGCUUAGAAUUUUUUUUGUUUUCCAUGGAACGUUUCCCAAUAGUUUCUAGCCACAAAGUCUCUUUUAUCAUAUCAUUUAUUUUUAGGUUGUGGGUUAUCAAGAUCAACAACAGUUUUUAGUUCAACAUCAGUAUCUGGUUCUUUAUCAUUUUUUGGUUGAGUGUCCACAUGAACAUCAUCAUUACCAUUUUCAUUAUCACUAGGUGAAUGUUCAUUACCAGAUUGGGUUUUAGCAUCAGAAAUAGAAACAUCAUUGUCAUCUUCAGAAGAUUUUUCUUUCUCAGGUUCACUAGAUGUAUGCAAAGUCCUAUCAUUUUUCUUCUUAUUUUUAUUUUUAGGGGGACUACAUGCGUCAGUGUUAAUUCUUUGAGAGUCUUGUUCAAUUCUUUUAGGGUGUCCUUCAGGAUAAAGUGGUUCCCGAGUCAUUUGGCCUCCUCUAGUUGCUACUCUAACACCAAAGUUAUACCUAUUAUUAUUCAUUUCACUAAGCAAUUCUCUUUGAGAUUUAGCAACUUGUUCUAACUGAGUUUGAACCAUAGAAGCAUGUUUUCCUACACCUCUCACAUCAUUAGUGAUUCUAAGUAGCAAGUCACUCAAGCGAGCAAUCAUAUCCAAAUUAUAUUUCAAUUGUUUCAUAACAUUUGAAUUGAAGUUCUCUUGUUUUCUAAUUGUCAAACUCAUAUAAGCAUUGACUAGGAUGUUUAUUAUAGGGAAUGUCACCUUCAUCAAAAUUUAAUAAAGAAUUUACCUCUACCACCCGUGAUGGUGGCGGUGCGUCAAGACCAUGUAUUUCUUCAAUAGGUGGUAAAUUCUUAACAUCUUCAGAUUUAAUACCUUUUUCCUUCAUACAUUUCUUUGCCUCUUGCAUAUCUUCAAGACUGAGAUAUAAGAUACCGCUCUUCUUCGGAGUGGGUUUAGGCGGUGGUUCAGGAAGAGUCCAAUCAUCAUAAUUCUUCAAUAUAUUAUAUAAUUCCUCAUCUUGUUCAACAGCCCGUUCUCUCAAAACACAACUAGCACAACUAUCUAGGAGGUCCCUAGAAGCAUCGGUUAGUCCAUUAUAGAAGAUAUCAAGUAUUUCAUUUUCUGAAGUGGAUGAUCAGGCAAAGCAUUAAGUAGUUGGAGAAGCCUCCCCAAGCUUGUGGGAGACACUCUUCUUCACUUUGCGCAAAGUUAAAUAUUUCCUAUAAGGCAGCUUGUUUCUUAUGAGCGGGAAAAUGUUUUUCAAAGAAGUAGUAAAUCAUAUCCUAGGGACUACGCACACAACCAUGAGCAAGAGUAUUGUACCAUAUCUUAGCAUCACCUGAUAGGUCCAUUUUGCAUCAUGCUUUUAUAUCAAUAUUUAUUGCAUUAUGGGUUGUCAUUACACGUUAUGUCACAAUACUUAUGGCUAUUCUCUCUUAUUUUACAAGGUUUAUCAUGAAGAGGGAGAAUGCCGGCAGCUGGAAUUCUGGCUGGAAAAGGAGCAAAUAUUGGAAACCUAUUCUGCACAGCUCCAAAAGUCCUGAAACUCCACGAAAGUCAUUUUUGGAAUUAAUAAGAAUAAUUGAGCGAAGAAAGUACCAGAGGGGGCCCACACCUUGGCCAGGAGGGUGGGGGCGCGCUCCCCCUACUGGGCGCGCCCCCUAUCUCUUGGGCCCCCUGUUGGCCCUCCGGUGCCCAUCUUCUGCUAUAUGAAGUCUCUUACCUUGGAAAAAUCAUAAGCAAGCUUAUGGGACGAAACUCCGCCGCCACAAGGCGGAACCUUGGCGGAACCAAUCUAGGGCUCCGACGGAGCUGUUCUGCCAGGGAAACUUCCCUCCGGGAGGGGGAAAUCAUCACCAUCGUCAUCACCAACAAUCCUCUCAUAGGGAGGGGGUCAAUCUCCAUCAACAUCUUCACCAGCACCAUAUCCUCUCAAAACCAUAGUUCAUCUCUUGUAUCCAAUCUUGUAUCAAAACUACAAAUUGGUACCUGUGGGUUGCUAGUAGUGUUGAUUACUCCUUGUAGUUGAUGCUAAUUGGUUUACUUGGUGGAAGAUCAUAUGUUCAGAUCCUUAAUGCAUAUUAAUACUCCUCUGAUCAUGAACAUGAAUAUACUUUGUGAGUAGUUACGGUUGUUCCUGAGGACAUGGGUGAAGUCUUGCUAUUAGUAGUCAUGUGAAUUUAGUAUUCGUUCGAUAUUUUGAUGAGAUGUAUGUUUUCUCUCAUCUAGUGGUGUUAUGUGAACGUCGACUACAUGAAACUUCACCAUUAUUUGGGCCUAUAGGAAGGCAUUGGGAAGUAAUAAGUAGAUGAUGGGUUGCUAGAGUGACAGAAGCUUAAACCCUAGUUUAUACGUUGCUUCAUAAGGGGCUCAUUUGGAUCCACUAGUUUCAUGCUAUGGUUAGGUUUACCUGAAUACUUCUUUUGUAGUUGCGGAUGCUUGCAAUAGGGGUUAAUCAUAAGUGGGAUGCUUGUCCAAGAAAGGGAAGUACCCAAGCACCGGUCCACCCACAUAUCAAAUUAUCAAAGUACCGAACGCGAAUCAUAUGAGCGUGAUGAAACUAGCUUGACGAUAAUUCCCAUGUGUCCUCGGGAGAGCUUUUCUCAUUAUAAGAAAUUGUCCAGGCUUGUCCUUUGCUACAAAUAGGAUUGGGCCACCUUGCUGCACUUUAUUUACUUUCAUUGCUUGUUACCCUUUACAAAUUAUCUUAUCAUAAAACUAUCUGUUACCUACAAUUUCAGUGCUGGCAGAGAAUACCUUAUUGAAAACCGCUUGUCAUUUCCUUCUGCUCCUCGUUAGGUUCGACACUCUUACUUAUCAAAAAGGACUACGAUAGAUCCCCUAUACUUGUGGGUCAUCAAGACUCUUUUCUGGCGCCGUUGCCGGGGAGUGAAGCGCCUUUGGUGAGUGGAACUCGGUAAGGAAACAUUUAUAUAGUGUGCUGAAAUUUUCUGUCACUUGUUGCUAUGGAAAUUAAUCCUUUGAGGGGCUUGUUUGGGGCAUCUUCGCCCCGACCAGUAGAGCAAAGAGUUGCUCCUCAACCUACUGAACCUACUGAAAAUGUUUACUUUGAAAUUCCUUCGGGUAUGAUAGAGAAACUGCUAGCUAAUCCCUUUGCAGGAGAUGGAACAUUGCAUCCCGAUUUACACCUUAUCUUUGUGGAUGAAGUUUGUGGAUUAUUUAAGCUUGUAGGUAUUCCCGAUGAUGUUGUUAAGAGGAAGGUCUUACCUUUAUCUUUGAAGGGAGAUGCAUUGACAUGGUAUAGGCUAUGUGAUGAUACGGGAUCUUGGAACUAUAAACGAUUGAAAUUGGAAUUUCACCAGAAGUUCUAUCCUAUGCAUCUUGUUCAUCGUGAUCGUAAUUACAUAUAUAAUUUUUGUCCUCGUGAAGGAGAAAGCAUCGCUCAAGCUUGGGGGAGGCUUAAGUCAAUGUUAUAUUCAUGCCCCAAUCAUGAUCUCUCAAGAGAAAUGAUUAUUCAAAAGUUUUAUGCUUGGCUUUCUCUCAAUGAUCGCACCAUGCUUGAUACUUCCUGUGCUGGUUCUUAUAUGCUGAAGACUACUAAAUUCAAGUGGGAUUUAUUGGAAAUAAUUAAAAUCAACUCUGAAGAUUAGGGUUCCGACGAUCAUAAGGAGUCAGGUAUGACACCUAAGUUUGAUUGUGUUAAAUCUUUUAUGGAUACCGAUGCUUUUCAUGGAUUUAGCGCUAAAUAUGGACUUGACUCUGAGAUAGUACCUUCUUUCUGUGAAUCUUUUGCUACUCACGUUGAUCUCCCUAAGGAUAAGUGGUUUAAAUAUAAUCCUCCCAUUGAAGUAAAAGUAGUUGCACCUGUUACAGUUGAAGAAAAGACUAUUACUUAUAAUGAUCCUAUUAUUCCUACUACUUAUGUUGAGAAACCACCUUUUCCUGUUAGGAUAAAGGAUCAUGCUAAAGCUUCAACUGUUGUUCGUAAGAGUAAUACUAGAACAUAUACACCCCCUGAGCAAAUUAAAGUUGAACCUAGUAUUGUUAUGAUUAAAGAUCUAUUGGAUGAUAAUAUAGAUGGGCAUGUUAUUUACUUCUAUGGUGAAACUGCUAAUAUUGCUAGACCAGAUGCUAAGAUACAUAGACCUGUUGUAGGCAUUCCUCUUAUUUCUAUUAAAAUAGGAGAUCAUUGUUAUCAUGGCUUAUGUGAUAUGGGUGCUAGUGCUAGUGCAAUACCUUUUUCCUUAUAUGAAGAAAUUAUGCAUGAUAUUGCACCCGCUGAAAUAAAAGGUAUUGAUGUUACAAUUAAGCUUGCCAAUAGAGAUACUAUUACACCAGUUCGGAUUGUUAGAGAUGUUGAAGUCUUUUGUGGGUAAGUUAAAUACCCUGCUGGUUUUCUUGUUCUAGGUUCCCCACAAGAUAGCUUUUGUCCCAUUAUAUUUGGUAGACCCUUCUUGAAUACUGUUAAUGCUAAGAUUGAUUGUGAAAAGUAUGUUGUUACAAUUGGCUUGGGGGAUAUGAAACAUGAGUUUAAUUUUGCUAAAUUUCGUAGACAACCCCAUGAUAAAGAAUUGCCUAGUAAGGAUGAAAUUAUUGGUCUUGCUUCUAUUCAUGUGCCUCCUACUGAUCCAUUAGAACAAUAUUUGCUAGGCCAUGAAAAUGAUAUGUUUAUGAAUGAAAGAAGGGAAAUAUAUGAAGUGUUCCUUCAACAGGGUCCUAUUCUAAAACACAACUUACCUAUUGAAAUCCUAGGGGAUCCCCCUCCACCCAAGGGUGAUCCCGUGUUUGAGCUCAAACCUUUACCUGAUAAUCUUAAAUAUGCUUAUCUUGAUGAAAAGAAGAUAUAUCCUGUUAUUAUUAGUGCUAACCUUUCAGAGCAAGAAGAGGAAAGAUUAUUGAAAACUCUGAAGAAGCACCGUGCUACUAUUGGAUAUACUAUGGAUUAUCUUAAGGGCAUUAGUCCCACUCUAUGCCAACACAAAAUAAAAUUGGAGAAAGAUGCCAAACCAGUUAGAGAUCCUCAACGACGGUUAAAUCCUAUGAUGAAAGAAGUGGUAAGAAAGGAGAUACUAAAGCACCUUGAGACAGGUAUAAUUUAUCCCGUUGCUGAUAGUGAUUGGGUAAGUCCUAUCCAUUGUGUCCCUAAGAAGGGAGGUAUUACUAUCGUUCCUAAUGAUAAAGAUGAAUUGAUUCCGCAUAGAAUUAUUAAAGGUUAUAGGAUGGUAAUUGAUUUCCGUAAAUUAAAUAAGGCUACUAAGAAAGAUCAUUACCCUUUACCUUUUAUUGAUCAAAUGCUAGAAAGACUAUCCAAACAUACACAUUUCUGCUUUCUAGAUGGUUAUUCUGGUUUCUCUCAAAUACCUAUGUUAGCAGAGGAUCAAUCAAAAACUAAUUUUACUUGCCCUUUCGGUACUUUUGCUUAUAGACAUAUGCCUUUUGGUUUAUGGAAUGCACCUUCUACCUUUGAAAGGUGCAUGAUGGCUAUAUUCUCUGACUUUUGUGAAAGGAUUUGUGAGGUAUUCAUGGAUGACUUCUCCAUUUAUGGAUCCUCUUUUGAUGAUUGCUUGAGCAACCUUGAUUGAGUUUUGCAGAGAUGUGAGGACACUAGUCUCGUCUUGAAUUGGGAAAAGUUCCACUUUAUGGUUAAUGAAGGCAUUCUCGUGGGGCAUAAAAUUUCUGAAAGAGGUAUUGAAGUUGAUAAAGCUAAAGUUGAUGCUAUUGAAAAGAUGUCGUGUCCCAAGGACAUAAAAGGUAUAAGAAGUUUCCUUGGUCAUGCCGGUUUUUAUAGGAGGUUCAUUAAGGACUUUUCUAAAAUCUCUAGGCCUCUCACUAAUUUAUUGCAAAAAGAUAUUCCUUUUGUCUUUGAUGAUGAUUGUGUAGAAGCAUUUGAAAUACUUAAGAAAGCUUUGAUCACUGCACCUAUUGUUCAGCCGCAUGAUUGGAAUUUACCCUUUGAAAUUAUGUGUGAUGCUAGUGAUUAUGCUGUAGGUACUAUUAUAGGGCAAAGAGUUGAUAAGAGAUUAAAUGUUAUCCAGUAUGCUAGUAAAACUCUUGAUACUGCCCAGAGAAGUUAUUCUACCACUGAAAAAGAAUUCUUAGCAGUUGUAUUUGCUUGCGAUAAGUUCAGACCUUAUAUUGUUGAUUCUAAAGUUACUAUUCACACUAAUCAUGCUACUAUUAAAUAUCUUAUGUAAAAGAAAGAUGCUAAACCUAGACUUAUUAGAUGGGUCCUCUUGCUCCAAGAAUUUUAUUUGCAUAUUAUUGAUAGAAAGGGAGUUGAGAACCCCGUUGCAGACAACUUGUCUAGGUUAGAGAAUGUUCUUGAUGACCCACUACCUAUUGAUGAUAGCUUUCCUGAUGAACAAUUACGGUCAUUAACGCUUCUCAUACUACUCCAUGGUAUGCUGAUUAUGCUAAUUACAUUGUUGCUAAAUUUAUACCACCUAGCUUCACAUACCAGCAAAAGAAAAAGUUCUUUUAUGAUUUAAGACAUUACUUCUGGGAUGAACCACACCUUUAUAAAGAAGGAGUAGAUGGUGUUAUUAGACGUUGUGUACCUGAGCAUGAAUAGGAACAGAUCCUAUGCAAGUGUCACUCCGAACCAUAUGGAGGACACCACGCUGGAGAUAGAAUUGCACAUAAGGUAUUGCAAUCCGGCUUUUAUUGGCCUACUCUCUUCAAAGAUGCUCGUUAGUUUGUCUUGUCUUGUGAUGAAUGGCAAAGAAUUGGUAAUAUUAGUGGACGUCAAGAAAUGCCGAUGAAUUAUUCUCUUGUUAUUGAACCAUUUGAUGUUUGGGGCUUUGAUUAUAUGGGACCUUUUCCUGCCUCUAAUGGAUACACACAUAUUCUAGUUCCUGUUGAUUACAUUACUAAGUGGGUAGAAGCUAUUCCAACUAGUAGUGCUGAUCAUAACACCUCUAUUAAGAUGCUUAAAGAAGUUAUUUUUCUGAGGUUUGGAGGCCCUAGAUAUCUCAUGACUGAUGGUGGUUCACAUUUUAUUCAUGGUGCUUUUCGUAAAAUGCUUGCUAAGUAUGAUGUUAAUCAUAGAAUUGCAUAUCCUUAUCACCCAUAGUCUAGCGGUCAAGUAGAAUUGAGUAAUAGAGAGAUCAAAUUAAUUUUGCAAAAGGACGUUAAUAGAUCUAGAAAGAAUUGGUCCAAGAAACUUGAUGAUGCAUUAUGAGCCUAUAGAACUGCACAUAAAAAUCAUAUGGGUAUGUCUCCGUAUAAGAUGGUUUAUGGAAAAGCAUUUCACUUACCUCUCGAACUUGAACAUAAAGCAUAUUGGGCUAUUAAAGAGCUCAACUAUGACUUCAAACUUGCUGGUGAGAAGAGGCUAUUUGAUAUUAGCUCACUCAAUGAAUGGAGAACCCAAGCCUAUGAGAAUGCCAAGCUAUUCAAAGAAAAAGUUAAAAGAUGGCAUGACAAAAGAAUACAAAAGCGAGGAUUUAACGUAGGUGAUUAUGUGUUUCUAUUCAACUCCCGUUUAAGAUUUUUUUGCAGGAAAACUUCUCUCUAAAUGGGAAGGUCCUUACGUUAUCGAGGAGGUCUAUCGUUCCGGUGCCAUAAAAAUCAACAACUUCGAAGGCACAAGUCUGAGGGUGGUGAACGGUCAAAGAAUCAAACAUUAUAUCUCAGGUAAUCCUAUAAAUGUUGAAACUAAUAUUAUUGAAACCGUAACCUCAGAGGAAUACAGAAGGGACACUUUCCAGAAUGUUUCAGACUCCGAAAAGGAAUAGGUAUGUGGUACGGUAAGUAAACCGACUCCAAAAUAGUUCUAAUGGCAAUUUUUCUCCGUUUUGGAAUAUUUAAGAAUUUUUGAAAGCAAGAAGUAAUCCGGGAAGGACACAAGGCCUCCACGAGGGUGGAGGGUGCACCCUCUCUUACUGGGCGUGCCCCCUGUCUCGUGGGCACCUCGUGUGCCUCCCGGACUUUGUUUUCUUGCACGAUAUUUCUUUUGGUCAGUAAAAAUUCAUUAUAUAAUCUCCCAAAGGUUUUGACCACCGUAUCAUGCAAAUAUCCUUUGUUUUUGUUUCGAGCUGUUUUUCUGAUAGAUCUAGAGCACCAUGACGUCUCCAAGCGCUCCCAAGGACAAGUUUUCCGAGAGGGUUAUCAAUCCCAAUCUCGCGGAGGUGACGCAACACCCUCAAACCAUUGAGAUGCGUGAGGGGGUGCUGCACAUCCGUGAUGUGGAGGGACCAAGGCAUACCGGAAGCAUGGAGACAAAGCUCGAAGCUAUGGAGCAACAAGUUUUCAAGUGCCAAGGGAUGGUGGAGCGUGGACUCAACGCCAACCAGAUGAUGAUCGCGGAAUUCACUAACAACCACAAGCUAGACGCCAAGAACAUUGGGGAUACCAUCUUCAAGCUUCAUGAGAAAAUCGAGCACCUCCAAGCCCAGAUCUAUGACCUGCAAAACCAAGACUGUGAGUAUGAAUAUAGAUUCAAGAGGAUGAGUUUGGCUGCAGAUUUGAGGAUCCCGGAGACUCAAUCAUCCUUCUAUGAUGGUGAGCCUAUGCCUUGGAAGAUGGACGACAAGCCUACAUCAUCAACAACUCCUUCUUCACCACCUCCCAGGACAUAAUCACAUGGGUAUGGGCACUCCCCUUGGCAACUGCCAAGCUUUGGGGAGGUGCCCCGGUAUCGUAUCACCAUCAGACUCCUAUCUUUACUGUUUUACUUAGUUCGGUCCUUUUAGUAAAAUCUUGAUCUAGUAGAAUAAAGCUUUGGUAUGAAUUAGUUUUGAGUUUUGCUUUGUGAUCCUUCUAUGUAAUCGAGUCUGUGAGCUAUAUAAUAAAGAUUAGUGUUGAGUCAAGGGCUUUUGCUAUCUUGCUACGAUCUUGAGAAAAUAAAAAGAAUAAAAAGAAAUAAAAGAGUUCAUAUUGAUCUUAUGGAUAGUAAUGACUUCACAUAUAAAGAGUAUGAGGCAUAAAAGUUGUUGAGAGUUGACAAACAUAGUUUUGGUCAUCGUUGCAAUUAAUAGGAAGUAAUAAGGAAAGAGAGGUUUCCACAUAUAAAUAUACUAUCUUGGACAUAUUUUAUGAUUGUGAGCACUCAUUAAGUAUGACAUGCUAAAGAGUUGAUGUUGGACAACAAAGACAACAUAAUGGGUUAUGUUUUCUCACAUCUCAGUUAAAGUAUAUUUUCAUGGAUCAUUCAAACAUGUUGAGCUUGUCUUUCCCCCUCAUGCUAGCCAAAAAUUUCUUGCACCAAGUAGAGAUACUACUUGUGCUUCCAAAUAUCCUUAAACCCAGUUUUGCCAUGAGAGUCCACCAUACCUACCUAUGGAUUGAGUAAGAUCCUUCAAAUAAGUUGUCAUGUUGCAAGCAAUAAAAAUUGCUCUCUAAAUAUGUAUGACUUAUUAGUGCGGAGAAAAUAAGCUUUAUACGAUCAUGUGAUAUGGAAGUAAUAAAAGUGACGGACUGCAUAAUAAAGGUUCAUAUCACAAGUGGCAAUAUAAAGUGACGUUCUUUUGCAUUAAGAUUUUGUGCAUCCAACCCUAAAAGCACAUGACAACCUCUGCUUCCCUCUGCGAAGGGCCUAUCUUUUACUUUGUGUCUUUUACUUUAUGCAAGAGUCGAGGUGAUCUUCACCUUUCCCUUUUUUUGAUUUUAUCCUUUGGCAAGCACCUCGUGUUGGUGAGAUCCUAAUAUAUAUAUCCAACUGGAUGUAAGUUAGCAUGAACUAUUAUUGUUCACAUCACCCAAAGGUUAAUACAUUGGGAGGCGGAAUAAUAAGCCCCUAUCUUUCUUAGUGUCUGAUUAAAACUCCAUAACCAUAAGUAUUGUGUGAGUGUUAGCAAUUGUAGAAGACUAUAUGAUAGUUGAGUAUGUGGACUUCCUGAAAAGCUCUAUUCUUGACUCUUUCCGAUGUUAUGAUAAAUUGCAAUUGGUUCAAUGACCGAGAUUAUAGUUUGUUAGUUCUCAAUGAAGUUUCUGAACCAUACUUGACAUUGUGAAUAGAUUGCUACUUGAGCAUAAGAAAUCAUAUGAUAAAAUCUAUAUAUGUUGCUAUUAUAAGAAUGAUCAUGAUGCCCUCCUGUCCGUAUAUUAUUUUUAUCGACACCUCUAUCUCUAAACAUGUGGACAUAUUUUUUGAUAUCGGCUUCCGCUUGAGGACAAGCAAGGUCCAAGCUUGGGGGAGUUGAUACGUCCAUUUUGCAUCAUGCUUUUAUAUUGAUAUUUAUUGCAUUAUGGGUUGUUAUUACACGUUAUAUCAAAAUACUUAUGGCUAUUCUCUCUUAUUUUACAAGGUUUAUCAUGAAGAGGGAGAAUGCCGGCAACUGGAAUUCUGGCUGGAAAAGGAGCAAAUAUUGGAAACCUAUUCUGCACAGCUCCAAAAGUUCUGAAACUCCAAGAAAGUAAUUUUUGGAAUUAAUAAGAAUUAUUGAGCGAAGAAAGUACCAUAGGGGGCCCACACCCUGGCUAGGAGGGUGGGGGCGCCCCCCCUACUGGGCGCGCCCCCCGUCUCCUAGGCCCCCUGUCAGCCCUCCGGUGCCCAUCUUCUGCUAUAUGAAGUCUCUUACCCUGGAAAAAAUCAUAAGCAAGCUUACGGGACGAAACUCCGCCGCCACGAGGCGGAACCUUGGCAGAACCAAUCUAGGGCUCCGACGGAGCUGUUCUGCCAGGGAAACUUCCCUUCGGGAGGGGGAAAUCAUCACCGUCGUCAUCACCAACGAUCCUCUCGUCGGGAGGGGGUCAAUCUCCAUCAACAUCUUCACCAGCACCAUCUCCUCUACAAACCCUAGUUCAUCUCUUGUAUCCAAUCUUGUAUCAAAACCACAAAUUGGUACCUGUGGGUUGCUAGUAGUGUUGAUUACUCCUUGUAGUUGAUGCUAAUUGGUUUACUUGGUGGAAGAUCAUAUGUUCAGAUCCUUAAUGCAUAUUAAUACUUCUCUGAUCAUGAACAUGAAUAUGCUUUGUGAGUAGUUACGUUUGUUCUUGAGGACAUGGGUGAAGUCUUGCUAUUAGUAGUCAUGUGAAUUUGGUAUUCGUUCGAUACUUUGAUGAGAUGUAUGUUGUCUCUCCUCUAGUGGUGUUAUGUGAACAUCGACUACAUGACACUUCACCAUUAUUUGGGCCUAGAGGAAGGCAUUGGGAAGUAAUAAGUAGAUGAUGGGUUGCUAGAGUGACAGAAGCUUAAACCCUAGUUUAUGCGUUGCUUCGUAAGGGGCUGAUUUGGAUCCACUAGUUUCAUGCUAUGGUUAGGUUUACCUUAAUACUUCUUUUGUAGUUGUGGAUGCUUGCAAUAGGGGUUAAUCAUAAGCGGGAUGCUUGUACAAGAAAGGGCAGUACCCAAAGCACCGGUCCACCCACAUAUCAAAUUAUCAAAGUACCGAACGCGAAUCAUAUGAGUGUGAUGAAACUAGCUUGAUGAUAAUUCCCAUGUGUCCUCGGGAGCGCUUUUCUCAUUAUAUGAAAUUGUCCAGGCUUGUCCUUUGCUACAAAAAGGAUUGGGCCACUUUCCUGCACUUUAUUUACUUUCAUUACUUGUUACCCGUUACAAAUUAUCUUAUCACAAAACUAUCGGUUACCUACAAUUUCAAUGCUUGAAGAGAAUACCUUACUGAAAACCGCUUGUCAUUUCCUUUUGCUCCUCAUUGGGUUCGACACUCUUACUUAUCGAAAGGACUACGAUAGAUCCCCUAUACUUGUGGGUUAUCAUCACCCUUUGAUGAGAACGGAAAUAAUUUGAGAAUAUAGUAGUAGCAAAUUUUCUCAUCAUGAGCAAAAAGGGUAGCUAUAUCAUUUAAUUUAGUAAGAUGUGCCACUACAAUUUCAGAUUCAUGGCCGUGGAAAGGAUCGGAUUCAACUAAAGUAAUUAACUCUGGGUCGAUAGAGAAUUCAAUAUCCUUUUCGGUACAAAGAUAGGUGAAGCAGCAAACUUAGGAUCACAUUUCAUUCUAGCAUUCAAAGAUUUCUCUUUAAAUUUGCGUAAUAAUUUCUUAAGAUCGUCCCUAUCAUUGCAAGCAAGAAUGUCUCUAGCUAUCUCCUCCUGAAUAACAUAACCAUUAGGCAUCUUAGGCAUUUCAACUCUAGGAGAGCUAGGUAUAAUAGGUGUUUCAUAAUUCCCAGUUUCAAGUACUUCAUUAGUUUCAGUAAUUUCAUUCUCUUUAGCUCUAGCAAGUUGUUCGUCAAGAAAUUCACCGAGUGGCACUUGAUCAUCGAGCAAGGUGCUAACAUCAUCAUAAGUAUCAUUCAUAGCAGAGUAGCAUCAUCAAUAACUUGCGACAUAUCAGGAUUAAUAGCAUGUGGUGGUGGUGCAAGUUUACUCAAAAUAGAAGGCGAAUCAAGUGCAGAGCUAGAUGGUAGUUCAUUACCUCCCCUCGUCUUAGAGGAAAAAAUCUUGGUUUUCAUAUGCUUCAGAUUCUUCAUAGUGGUAAAUAGAUAAGAAUCCCAAGUGACUCAACAAAUAUAGCUAUGCUCCCCAGCAACGGCGCCAGAAAAGGGUCUUGAUAACCCACAAGUAUAGGGGAUCACAACAGUUUUUGGGGGUAGAGUAUUCAACCCAAAUUUAUAGAUUUGACACAAGGGGAGCCAAAGAAUGUUUGCAAGUAUUAGCAGUUGAGUUGUCAAUUCAACCACACCUGGAGAUUAAAAAUAGUGAUCAGUAGCAUAGUAAUAUGAUAGUUUUGAUAGUAGUGGUAGCAAUACAGUAACGGUAACAGUGAUAUCAAUGAUUUUGUAGCAGGUGUAACAGUAGCAAUAGUAGUAGUAACUUAGCAAGAGCAAUUUGUGGAAAACUCAUAGGCAUUGGAUUAGUGAAUACAUUGGAUGAUAUUUAUCAUAUAACAGUCAUAACGUAGGGAGAUAUAGAACUAGCUCUAGUUCAUAAAUAUAAUGUAGGCAUGUAUUCCGUAAAUAGUCGUACGUGCUUAUGAAAAAAGAAUUUGCAUGACAUCUUUUGUCCUACCCUCCCGUGGCAGCGGGGUCUGAUACGUCCAUUUUGCAUCAUGCUUUUAUAUUGAUAUUUAUUGCAUUAUGGGCUGUUAUUACACGUUAUAUCACACUUAUGGCUAUUCUCUCUUAUUUUACAAGGUUUUACAUAAAGAGGGAGAAUGUCGGCAGCUGGGAUUCUAGGCUGGAAAAGGAGCAAAUAUUGGAGACCUAUUCUGCACAGCUCCAAAAGUCCUGAAACUCCACGAAAGUCAUUUUUGGAAUUAAUAAAAAUAUUCAGUUGAAGAAAUACCGGAGGGGGGCCACUCACCGUCCACGAGGGUGGGGGCGCGCCCACCCUUACAGGGCGCGCCCCCUGCCUCGUGGGCCACCUGGCAGCCCUCCGAUGCCCAUCUUCUGCUAUAUGAAGUCUUUUACCCUGGAAAAAAUAAUAAGCAAGCUUUCGGGACGAAACUCCGCCGCCACGAGGCGGAACCUUGGUGGAACCAAUCUAGGGCUCCGGCGGAGCUAUUCUGCUGGGGAAACUUCCCUCUUGGAGGGGGAAAUCAUCACUAUCGUCAUCACCAACGAUCCUCCCAUCGUAAGGGGGUCAAUCUCCAUCAACAUCAUCACCAGCACCAUCUCCUCUCAAACCCUAGUUCAUCUCUUGUAUCCAAUCUUUGUACCAAAACCUCAGAUUGGUACAUGUGGGUUGCUAGUAGUGUUGAUUACUCCUUGUAGUUGAUGCUAGUUGGUUUAUUUGGUGGAAGAUCAUAUGUUCAGAUCCUUAAUGCAUAUUAAUACUCCUCUGAUUAUGAACAUGAAUAUGCUUUGUGAGUAGUUACGUUUGUUCCUGAGGACAUGGGUGAAGUCUUGCUAUUAGUAGUCAUGUGAAUUUGGUAUUCGUUUGAUAUUUUGAUGGCAUGUAUGUUGUCCCUCCUCUAGUGGUGUUAUGUGAAUGUCGACUACAUGACACUUCACCAUUAUUUGGGCCUAGAGGAAGGCAUUGGGAAGUAAUAAGUAGAUGAUGGGUUGCUAGAGUGACAGAAGCUUAAACCCUAGUUUAUAAGUUGCUUCGUAAGGGGCUGAUUUGGAUCCAUAUGUUUCAUGCUAUGGUUAGGUUUACCUUAAUACUUCUUUUGUAGUUGCGGAUGCUUGUAGGGGUUAAUCAUAAGUGGCAUGCUUUUCCAACAAAGGGCAGUACCCAAGCACCAGUCCACCCACAUAUCAAAUUAUCAAAGUACGGAACGUGAAUCAUAUGAACAUGAUGAAAACUAGCUUGACGAUAAUUCCCAAGUGUCCUCGGGAGCGCUUUUCUCUAUAUAAGAACUUGUCCAGGCUUGUCCUUUGCUACAAAAAGGAUUGGGCCACCUUGAUGCACCUUAUUUACUUUUAUUGCUUGUUACCCAUUACAAAUUAUCUUAUCACAAAACUAUCUGUUACCUACAAUUUCAGUGCUUGCAGAGAAUACCUUACUAAAAACCGCUUGUCGUUUCCUUCCGCUCCUCAUUGGGUUCGACACUCUUACUUAUCGAAAGGACUAGGUAGAUACCCUACACUUGUGGGUCAUCAGGGUCCACAAGGAAACUAAUGGAUAUUAAGGCCUCCUUUUAAUAGAGAAACGGAACAAAGCAUUAAUACAUAGUGAAUACAUGAACUCCUCAAACUACGGUCGUCACUGGAAAGUAUCCCAAUUACUGUCACCCUGGGGUUUACGGAUCAUAACACGUAGCGGGUGCAUAUGACUAGCAAGAUCAGAUCUAGAACACAGAUAUAACGGUGAAAACAUAAACGGUUUCGACCUGAGUUCAUGGCACUCAAGCCCUAGUGAUAGGCAUUAUGCAUGGCAUACUCAUAGCAACAUCAAUCACAGAACAUAGUGGAUACUAGGGAUGAAGCCCUAACAAAACUAACUCAAUUACAUGAUGAACCUCAUCCAACUCCUCACCGACCAACAAGCCUACGAAGGAAUUACUCACUCCCGAUGGGGAGCAUCAUGGAAUUGGUGAUGAAGGAGGGUUGGUGAUGACGAAGGCCGAAGAUUCCACUCUCCGGAGCCCUGAACGGACUCCAGAUCUUGCCUCCCGAUGAAGAACAGGAGGUGGCGGUGGCUCCAUCUCAUGAAACACGAUAAUUCUUCCUAUUAUUUUUUCUCCAAAAAUAGGUAUUUAUGGAGUCGAUAUUAGGAUCAGGGGGCCCACGAGGUGGGCACGACCCACCAGGGCGCGCCUGGAGGGGGUGGCGCGCCCUGUUGUAUCGUGCUCACCUAGGGCACCCCCUUUGGUGGUUCUUGGUUCCAGUAGUUUUCUUUUACUCUAAAAUAAAUCUCCAAAAAGUUUCCUUCCAUUCUGAGAACCUUUAUUUCUGCACACAAAUAACACCAUGGUAGUUCUGCUAAAAAUAGCAUCAGUCAGGGUUAGAGUCAUUCAAAUCAUGCAAAUUAGAGUCCAAAACAAGAGCAGAAGCGUUAGGAAAAGUAGAUAUGAUGGAGACAUAUCAACAUCCUAUGGGAAACCACCACCAUCAACGACGAAAACUUUAGGAAGAUACCAAAUAUGGAGCACUUCCUCCUAAUGAAGUUGCAUUAGAGAUUCUUGUUCCCCGUCUGGGAUGAAAUUGAAUAUCAAUCACUGUGGCUUGACCCGACAAUGAAGAAGAUCAACAACAAAGCCAUAGGCAAGUUUAGCGGUGCAUUGUCCGCCUGGAAAGUAAGGGUGAAAAAGUUGAUUGACAAAAAGGAACCCUACUCCGAGAUUUUAAAGGAUAAUCCGCCUAUCGGUUAUCGGGUUCUGGCAAAACCCCUACAGUUUGAACACUAGGGUGCGCACGAAGAUCUCCUCCUAUGGAAUCUCGCUCUCAGCCUCGCCGCGAUCCCUAAGCUAGAUCGAUGAGCAACACAAGAGACACAAGAUUUAUACAGGUUUGGGCCACCGUUGUGGUGUAAUACCCUACUCCUGUGUGUGGUGGUGGAUUGCCUCUUGGGCUGAUGAUGAAAUGUACAGAGGAAGAACAGCCUCGCGAGGAGAGGUGUUCUUGUGAUGGUGUGGUGUUCUGCUUAUGAAGGAUUCGAUCCCCUUCUACUGUGGUGGCUAGCCCUAUUUAAAGAGGCCCUAGUCCUAUUCCCAAAUAUUUAGCGGGAAGGGAUCCAACAACAGUCAUUUUGAAAGGGGACGGGUAGUACAUGCUAUCCUGACUAAAGGUGGUCUUCGCCUGCCAAAGGUGCUGGUGAUGACGCCGUCUUAGGCUCCACGGUGACCUCCGUCCUGCCGCACUGCUGGUCUUGGUCUCAUUGCACAGAUAAGGAAACCGUUGCCUGAUGCCUCGGUACUCUGCGCCUGUGCUUGCCCCCUUUGCACCAAAGAGGAAACAAGGACACUACGCGGGCUGGCGCCCGCCUGGUCUUGAUCGUCAUGGCUUGCAUCAUUGGCACCUUGCGAGGUACCCCUUGCCUUGAUCUCUCCGCCUCCCCGCGAGCCUGCCUGGCGAGGCCACUCCUGAGGAGGCCUUGCGUCGUCCGCCCUGCGAUGCUUGGCCCCUCGUGAGGGUCUUGAGUGUUUGGUUGAUGAAGAUGGACCAUACUGGGCCACCAAUUGAGCCAUGCAGCACGCCGCAGGCAGGCAAGUCUAGGGACCCCCGUUCCUAGAAGGCAGUAGUAGCCCCCGAGCCCAAGGCGCACUCGGACUUGGCUUAGCAGCGAAGCCAAAGGGCAAGUAUGGAGCGCGGCAGGCCCCCACAGCAUGCGGCCUUGGUCGAUGCAUGGCGACUAAUUGGACGUGGGCGCCUCCGCUUCCCCAUGCUGCCCCAAUAUCUGCCUAGGUAGGCGGCCACGGUGCCUUACGCAGUUAUUUCCUCCUUGCUGGCAGCGCACUUCCUGUUCCCCUUUCUUUCUCGAGUCUCUACUUCCGCUUCCAAUCUGACUUGAGCUCUGCCCCCUCCAUUGCCAUGGCGCCAACUAGCAAGGAGAAGGGGAAGAAGCCUCUGUCCUCAACCAAUUCAUCCCCGACAAUCGAGCCCUCCAUCGGUCGGUCGCUAGUGCUCAACCUGGAGGCCUUGGGCAAGGUCUUCCCUGCGCUCGCUUCCAGCUUCAACGAGUGCGGAAAGACGAUGGCCUAGCCUGCGUCCCACGCCUCCAUUGACAGGAGAGUCACUGAGGUUUGAUUCUUCGUCGACUCCCUGUGGGCUGGCCUAGUUCCCCCUUUCUCCGCCUUCUUCAAUUCAGUGCUUUCCCAUUAUCAGAUCUAUAUGAUGCAUCUUGACCCCCAAUCCGUUACCCUUCUUGUUGUCUUCGCCUUUGUUUGCGAAGCCAUGGUGGGCAUUGCUCCUUCCGCCGCCCUCUUGCGCCACUUCUUCUCGCUGUGCCUGACUGACCCCUCGCAGUGCUCGGGGUGCGUGAGCUUCUAGGCUGUGGCAGAGACGACCGCCUCGGGGAUCGAUUUUGACCUCCCACCGUCCACGAGCGGGUUCCGGACGCGGUGGCUGUAUGUGGAUGUAGGAGUGCUCAAACCUCUGCUUUCACCUCCAUCGUUGCGUGUCGUCCCCAAUCCCGGCUGGGGUCACGAGAGACUCGUGAGCCCCUGGCUCUCCUUUGUCUGGUUCUGACUGAGGAGGUUGAGAGAUCUCGGCAUGAAUGCGCCCCGGGUGGUGAAGGAGUUCCUCCAGUGUCGCAUUGCUCCUCUCCAGCGCCAUUCCCGACCGAUGUGGGCCCUGACUAGCGACCAGGACCGCAUGAGGCUUCAGGAGAUGGAACUUGCACCCGAAACAUUGAGGACGGUGCUUGAGCUCUUGACUGGCGACCCCUCGCCAGGCGAUGUGCGGCACGGGAGUAGCCUCCUAUAUCUCUGCUCGAACAGGGCUGAGUUCGUGGGACAAAUGCCUCUCUUCGACGAAUGGGGAUUGCGUCCGGCUGGCCUUGCGGGGCCUCGCGAGAAUCCCAUCGCCGUGGCUCCCUUCCUCGCCGCCAGCACCGAUCUUGCCCCAAGAAUGGGCAUAGGGAGGCAAGCAUCGAUUGAGGCUGGAGGCUCGGGUGUCAUGGCACCAACGUCGCACGGGGUUCCCGAAGCGUCAUCCUCUGGAGCUCGUGAAGCCCGCCCUGAGGCGGUUGUCAAUGGGAGGACGCAACCUGCGGCUCCCGAGGACGGAGCUCCCGAAGCCUCGGCAGGCCAUUGGGAGGUGGUGCCUGAUUGCUCCUCCCAGCUUGGCGCCCCCUAGGUCAGCAGCCUGGGUGCUUCUCCAUCCACGCCACGCGCUGGUCCUCAUGUCGAGCGCCUGGGUCGGUUCCGCGUGGACUUCGCCGCACUCCGCACGAGGAAGGAGUUUUCGAGUUGAAGUGGACGCACCUUCCAACCUUUGAAACAUAGGAAGUACUUCGCCAUAGACGAGUAAGUACCUCAUUCUUGCAAUUCUUCAAUCGCUGCUCCCCUUCCUGACUGUGACUCUUCAGGAUCCCUCCUGUCAAGCCUGCGAAGUCUCCCAAGAAGCAACCUCCUCCGGCCUUGCCUUCAUCGCUAGCCUUGAGCGUCCCGAGCCUGCAUGCUGCCCCUGGCGCGAGGUCAGCCGGAGAAGCAAGCCUGCCCACAGGGUGUCUUGAGCAUGUGCCCUUGCUACCUUUGCUUUGCAACCCUUCGUGGAGAGCAAUCAGCUUGUCCAGGGUUCCUCCUCUGGUCGUGGAUGGCGAAUUGUUAGCAUCGAUCCUUGGCUCUUCUUGAGGGGAUGAGCCUGUGCUGGUUCGGGUCCCUUGCGGGGCCCGGCCAACGAUCGCGGGGGCGCCAGCCCCCAUCCCCAUAACGAGAGGGGGCGAACCGCUUCAGCGCCCGCCGACAGCGCUGGCGGCGGAGGACGACAUCAACAGCAUGCUCAAUCUUGUGCGUGAACGGAGCGUCGUUCGUCGCGAGUUCCUCCGGAAGGCGAUGGACGCGCUGGGCCAGCUUGGUGAAGAGCUUGCAGACGUGGAUGCGCUCCUUGAAGAUGAGGGCCUGCGGCUGAUUGAGGAGUGACACAAGCUGAAGGUGGCCAUCAACCUCGCGCGCCACCAGCGCGAGCUUGACAACACGAAGUUUGAGGCGUCCCUUGUGGCCUCGCGAGAGGCCUGCUCUCGGGCUCUGAAGGAGGCUCGGGAAGCAGAUUAUCGUCACGAGAUCGCUGAGAAGCAGGCGUGGGAGCUCCAAGCCUAGAGCGCCUCCCUGGAGCAGCAGGUGGAGCUGCGUCAGGACGCCCUUGCGUCGCUGAAGGGGACGCCUGUCAAUGAGGAGGAGCUCCGGAGGCGCGAGGAACCGCUGAUGCUGGAGGCCACUGAGUGCAAUCUUGACCUUGAGCGGUUGGAGAUGAGGGAGCGCCAGGUUACCUAGGCGGAGGACGAUGUUGGCGCGUGCGAGACUCGAGCCCAAGAAGAGGUCGACCGCCACAUGGCGGAAACUCGUGCGGAUCUUGUGAGCAGGUAUGACCUGAAGCUGGAGCUGAUUGAAGACGAGGCUGCGGGCAGGACUGUCGCUCUUAAGUCUAAGCUGACUGAAGCGGAGCGGUGCGCGGAGGCCGCUGCAGCCGCCCUGGUCUCGGUGCAGACUGAGUUAGCCUCCGCCCAUGCCGAGCUGCUUCCUCUCCAGCAGUGGGUUGACGACGCCGAAUCCAUUGCAUGGCAGAACAGAGAGGAAGUGCUUGAGCGGCAAACGCUGGAGCAAAUGCACGGCCCCAUGCUCCAGGAACUCAGGAACAUGGCCAACACGGCCCUGGGCAAUAUCUAUAAUGAGAACACCCCGCAUCCCCAUGCUACCAACUACGCCAGUCAUCUCCGCGUCUUCACUGACGUGCUGACGCGCUUGGAGAACCACUCUGAGAGAGCUAACCAGCUUGUCGAGGAGAGGAGCUGCAGCCUACUUGGACGUGCAUUCUCCCAUGUCUUCAGCCAUCUUCAGAACACCGAUCCCCACUUCGACUUUGAUGCUGUCAUCGCCCCGGUGCCCAAGGCCAUCCGGGGCGACCUAGCGCGGUGGGUGGAGGACAAUGUGGAUGUGCUUGUUAGAGCCUUUGCUUCUGACAAUGACGGGGUGGUAGUCGCGGCGGACGGCGGUGACGUGGUCGACAGUGGUGACGGCAGCGCCGGUGGUGGUAUGUCAGCGACAGGUACAGUGGAGCCAGUGAUGCGUCAGGGAGGCGUCCAGGAGGAUGCGGUGAGCGACAUGUCUGACUGACCCCGUGUUUCCCUGCUGUUCAUCCUGCACACAAAAGCUCGGGCGCGGCCCCAAAGGUUGUAAGAGCAUUUUGGGAGGGGAAGCCCCUCAUGUAAAAAGAUUUUCGUCCGUGUGCUUUUAGGAAUGAUGUUGAACAUGCACCUACAUGAUUCUACGGGCGCUGCGGUGAGUUUGUUGUGGUUUACCUUUAGCAAAGACAAAUCUUGAAUAGACACGCGAGGCCGUGAGCUCCCGAGGGUCCCUUGAGGGGCCUGUUGUCCAGGUCAUGAAGGCCUCGUGAGAGCGAGUGCCGGCCGCGGUACGGCAUGCGCGCAGUGCACGUGUGCUUCGCCCAGCCCCCCCGCAUACGCAAAUGCAAAUUCAACUUCAGCUUAAAUCCGAAGCAAGGAAGCUCGACCACAGAAAGGGAGGCAAAAAAGCAAAAGGCCACGUCCGGCACCUAGUCUAGUCUUCGAUGUCUUCUCACCAGCGCCGAGCUAAGUGCUGCCACUGGGCGUUGGAGGGAGCCCCCGAGGCCCGAGGGCGGCUCUCCGGAGACUCCGGGGCGUGUACAGCCCCAACUCAUUAUUACGUGAGAGUGUCACGGGCGGCGAGCUUCAUAGGCACCGGCCUUGCUUCAUAUCGCCAGUCAAGGGCCCCGCCUUGCGCCACCCUCGACCACCAUUGACGGUGGCCGGAGACCAAGGACGACGCCAACGGGGCAAAGGGGAUGCCAGCGGUGCCCUCGGCGACCACGGGUCCUCUGCCGGGGGUAGGCUUUGCAUCACCUCCCCGCCAGAGGGCCUACCUCUGGGGGAUGCCUUGCUCCGCGCACCAUGGGGAGAGGCCUGGCUCCCGACCCCUCUCCUGCAGCCCCCAAUGUGCUCCUCCUGGCGGAAGGGAGGCUGCUGAGCUGGGGCAGCCAUCCGCUGCAGUGACCUGAACCUCCUGCGACCCAUGGUUAGCAUAAGCUUGCUCCUGAGGAAUUAGAGGUACCCGGUAGCUGCUGCUGCCAGCUUGGUUGGUGAGGCUUCCUUGGGGCUCCUGAAAAGGCUCGGCUUCUGGCAUCUCUUCCUCCCAGCCUGACCCGAGGAACGAGCCAGGGUCGUCUUCCAGCGCGUACUCCUGAUCCACCAUGCGGGGCACGUAAGCCUCUGAGGUCGCCGCCUUGAAGACUUCGCCGUAGUGCCCCAUGCUCCAUGUGGCCUGGCCUAGCGCGCCGUCUUGAGGAUGGUAAGACAGUGUCCCGCCCGAGCCGUAGGCGGCGAUAUGCAUGCCCUCGCUCAUCGGAUGUGGUGCUGGUGUAGCCUGACGCCCGGCGCCGAUGGCUGAGCUGGUGUCGAUGAAGCCUCGGGGCGUGCCUGAGGGCGCGCGGGCGCGGAGAGGCCUGCCACAUGAUCCGACCGGGGCCUGGGGUGGAAGCUGGAAACAGAAAGGCGGUGCCCCCGAGGCCACGGCAUCCAGGAGCUCUGCAACGCGCUCUAGCAACACGUCUCGGCCGCUCUCCUGCAACCUGCACCGCAACAGCUCCCGAGCCACAGUGAGCGCGGCCCUCAUGUUUGCUUGUUUCCGUCGGGUGUGCGGCGCCGUGGCCGCGGCGUGGCUUGAGGCCCUUGCGGCUGAUCGCACCUGCCGCGGAGUAAGGGCAGGCAGUGCUUGACCGCGUCGCCCGCCGAUACGUCUCCAUCGUAUCUAUAAUUUUUUAUUGUUCCAUGCCAAUAUUAUUCAACUUUCAUAUACUUUUGGCAACUUUUUAUACUAUUUUCGGGACUAACAUAUUGAUCCAGUGCCCAGUGUCAGUUCAUGUUUGUUGCAUGUUCUCUGUUUCGCAGAAACAAAGAGAGACAGAGAGACAGAUCCAAACUCGGAGGGGCUCUCGCCCCUCCCACGCCAUGGGAGCCAAGGACCAUAGGGGAAACCCUUCUCCUAUCUAGGGAGAAGGUUAAGGAAGAAGAAGAAGAAGGGGGGCUCUCUCCCCCUUGCUUUCGGUGGCGCCGGAACACCGCCGGGGGCCAUCAUCAUCACCGCGAUCUACACCAACACCGCCAUCAUCUUCACCAACAUCUCCAUCACCUUCCCGCAUCUAUAUUCAGCGGUCCACUCUCCCGCAACCCGAUGUACCCUCUACUUAAACAUGGUGCUUGCUACGUCUUGAGCUUGCGUUGGUUUUCCUUGAAGAGGAAAGGGUGAUGCAGCAAUAGUAGCGUAAGUAUUUCCCUCAGUUUUUGAGAACCAAGGUAUCAAUCCAGUAGGAGGCUCAUCAAAAGUCCCACGCACCUACACAAACAAACAAAGAACUCGCAACCAACGCAAUAAAGGGGUUGUCAAUCCCUUCACGGCCACUUGCGAAAGUGAGAUCUAAUAGAGAUAGUAUGAUAAGAUAAAUAUAUUUUUGGUAUUUUAUAAUAUAGAUGCAAAAAGUAAAGAUGCAAAUAAAAGUCAAUUGGAAGCAAAUAUGAUAAGAGAUAGACCCGGGGGCCAUAGGUUCCACUAGUGGCUUCUCUCAAGUUAGCAUAAGUAUUACAGUGGGUGAACAAAUUAUUGUCGAGCAAUUAAUAGAAAAGCGAAUAAUUAUGAGAUUAUCUAGGCAUGAUCAUGCAUAUAGGCAUCACGUCCGCAACAAGUAGACCAACUCCUGCCUGCAUCUACUACUAUUACUCCACACAUCGACCGACUCCUGCCUGCAUCUAGGGUAUUAAGUUCAUAAAGAACAGAGUAACGCAUUAAGCAAGAUGACAUGAUGUAGAGGGAUAAACUCAUGCAAUAUUAUAUAAACCCCAUUUUUUUAUCCUCGAUGGCAACAAUACAAUACAUGCCUUGCAACCCUUUCUGUCACUCGGUAAGGACACCGCAAGAUUGAACCCAAAGCUAAGCACUUCUCCCAUGGAAAGAAAGAUCAAUCUAGUAGGCCAAACCAAACUGAUAAUUUAAGGAGACUUGCAAAGAUAACUCAAUCAUACAUAAAAGAAUUCAGAGGAGAUUCAAAUAUUUCUCAUAGAUAAACUUGAUCAUAAACCCACAAUUCAUCGGAUCUCGACAAACACACGGCAAAAAGAGUUUACAUCGAAUAGAUCUCCACAAGAGAGGGGGAGAACAUUGUAUUGAGAUCCAAAAAGAGAGAAGAAGCCAUCUAGCUAAUAACUAUGGACCCGAAGGUCUGUGGUAAACUACUCACAACUCAUCGGAGGGGCUAUGGUGUUGAUGUAGAAGCCCUCCAUGGUCGAUUCCCCCUCCAGCAGAGCACCGAUGAAAGCUACAAGAUGGGAUCUCGCGGAUACAGAAGGUUAUGGCAGUGGAAAUUGUGUUUUGUUGGCUCCCUGGAUGUUUUCGGGGUAUGUAGGCUUACAUAGGAGGAAGAAGUACGUCGGUGGCCGCCCGAGGGGCCCAAAAAUAGGGGACGCGCCCUACCCUCUCGUGGUCGCCUCGGCUGCUUCUUGACUUGCACUCCAAGUCCUCUGGAUCACGUUCGUUCCAAAAAUCACGCUCCCGAAGGUUUCAUUCCAUUUGGACUCCAUUUGAUAUUCCUUUUCUUCGAAAUAUUGAAAUAGGCAAAAAAAAACAGCAAUACGGGUUGGGCCUCCGGUUAGUAGGUUAGUCCCAAAAAUGAUAUAAAUGUGUAAAAUAAAGCCCAUAAACAUCAAAAAUGGGUAAUAUAAUAGCAUGGAACAAUCAAAAAUUAUAGAUACGUUGGAGACGUAUCAAGCAUCCCCAAGUGUAAUUCCUGCUCGUCCUCGAGUAGGUAAAUGAUAAAAACGGAAUUUUUGAUGUGGAAUGCUACCUAGCAUAAUUCUCAAUGUAAUUUUCUUUAUUGUGGCAUGAAUGUUCAGAUCCAAAUGAUACAAAAUAAAAGUUCAUAUUAACAUCAAAAUAGUGAUACUUCAAGCAUACUAAUCAAAGUAAUCAUGUCUUCUCAAAAUAACAUGGCCAAAGAAAGUUAUCCCUACAAAAUCAUAUAGUCUAGCUGUUGCUCUAUCUUCAUCACACAAAGUAUUUAAUCAUGCACAAACCCAUGACAAGCCAAGCAAUUGUUUCAUACUUUAAUAAUCUCAAACUCUUUCAACUUUCACACAAUACAUGAGCGUGAGCCAUGGACAUAGCACUAUAUGUGGAAUAGAAUGGUGGUUGUGGAGAAGACAAAAAAGGAGAAGAUAGUCUCACAUCAACUAGGCGUAUUAAUGGGCUAUGGAGAUGCCCAUUAAUAGAUAUCAAUGUGAGUGAGUAGGGAUUGCCAUGCAAUGGAUGCACUAGAGCUAUAAAUAUAUGAAAGCUCAACAAAAGAAACUAAGUGGGUGUGCAUCCAACUCGCUUGCUCACGACGACCUAGGGCAUUUUGAGGAAGCCCGUCAUUGGAAUAUACAAGCCAAGAUCUAUAAUGAAAAUUCCCACUAGUAUAUGAAAGUGACAACAUAUGAGACUCUCUAUCCUGAAGAUCAUGGUGCUACUUUGAAGCACAAGUGUGGAAAAAAGAUAGUAGCAUUGUCCCUUCUCUCUUAUUCUCUCAUUUUAUUUUAUUUAACUUUUUUCUUUGGACUUUCUCUUUUUUUCUUUUUUUUUCUUUUUGUAAAGUCCGAAGUCUCAUCCCGACUUGUGGGGGAAUCAUAGUCUUCGUCAUCCUUUCCUCACUAGGACAAUGCUCUAAUAAUGAAGAUCAUCACACUUUUAUGGAUUUACAAAUCAAGAAUUACAACUCAAAGCUAGAACAAGAUAUGACUCUAUAUGAAUGCCUCUGGCGGUGUACCGGGAUAUGCAAUGAAUCAAGAGCGACAUGUAUGAAAAUUAUGAAGGUGGCCUUGCCACAAAUACGAUGUCAACUACAUGAUCAUGCAAAGAGCAAUAUGACAAAAGUAAUGCGUGUCAUAUGAACGGAACGGUGGAAAGUUGCAUGGCAAUAUAUCUCGGAAUGGCUAUGGAAAUGCCAUAAUAGGUAGGUAUGGUGGAUGUUUUGAGGAAGGUAUAUGGUGGGUGUAUGGCACCGGCGAAAGUUGCGCGACACAAGAGAGGCUAGCAAUGGUGGAAGGGUGAGAGUGCGUAUAAUCCAUGGAUUCAACAUUAUUUAAAAGAACUCAUGUACUUGUUGCAAAAAUCUAGAAGUCAUCAAAAACCAAAGCACUACGCGCAUGCCCCUAGGGGGAUAGAUUGGUAGGAAAAGACCAUCGCUCGUCCCCGACCGCCACUCAUAAGGAAGACAAUCAAUAAAUAAAAUUGUGCUCCAACUUCAUCACAAUGCGGUUCACCAUACGUGCAUGCUACGGGAAUCACAAACCUCAACACAAGUAUUUUUCAUAAUCACCUCAACUAGCAUGACUUUAAUAUCACUACCUCCAUAUCUCAAAACAAUUAUCAAGCAUCAAAUUGAUCAUAGCAUCCAAUUCCUUUCUAUGAUAGUUUUUAUUAUACCCAACUUGGAUGUUCAUCAUUCUAGGACCAAAUUUGUAACCAUAGCAAAUACCAUGCUGUUCUAAAAGACUCUCAAAAAGAUAUAAGUGAAGCAUGAGAGACUAGCAAUUUCUUCAAAAUUAAGUCACCACCGUGCUCUAAAAGAUAUAAGUGAAGCACUAGAGCAAAAACUAUGAAGCUCAAAAUAUAUAAGUGAAGCACAUAGAGUAUUCUAGCAUAUCCUAAUCAAUUAGGCUUCUCCCAAAAGGUGUGUACAGCAAGGAUGAUUGUGGUAAACUAAAAGGCAAAGACUAAUAUAAUACACGACGCUCCAAGCAAAACAAAUAUCAUGUGGCGAAUAAAAAUAUAGCUCCAAGUAAAGUUACCAAUGAACGAAGACGAAAGAGGGGAUGCCUUCCGGGGGCAUCCCCAAGCUUAGUCUUUUGGCUAUCCUUGAAUAUCUUGGGGUGCCAUGGGCAUCCCCAAGCUUAGGCUCUUGCCACUCCUUAUUCCAUAGUCCAUAAAAUCUUUACCCAAAACUUGAAAACUUCACAACACAAAACUCAACAGGAAAUCUUAUAAGCUCCGUUGGUGAAAGAAAACAAAACCACCACAUAAGGUACUGUAAUGAACUAAUUCUUUAUUUAUUUUUGUAUUAAACCUACUGUAUUACAACUUCUCUACAGUUUACAAACUAUUUUACUAGCCAUAGAUGCAUCAAAAUAAGCAAACAACACACAAAAAAUAGAAUCUGUCAAAAACAGAACAGUCUGUAGCAAUAUGUAACUAACGCAAACUUCUUGCACUCUAAAAAUCCUACAAAUAUAGGAAGUCCUGGAAAAUUUAUCUAUUUAUCAGAAGCAAAAAGAAUCAACGCAAAAGCACGUUCCUGUGAUUUAACAAAAUUAUAUUCAUGCGUGCAAAGUUUCUGUUUUUUAGCAGAAUCAAAUAAACUAUCAUCAUAGGUUAUCCUAUAGGUUCUACUUGGCACAAACACUAAUUAAAAGAUAAAAACACAUCUAAACAUAAGGUAGAUGCAAGAUUUAUUACUAAAAAGGAACAAAAACAAAAAACAAAAAGAAAAUUGGGUUGCCUCUGAACUAGCGCUAUUGUUUAACGCCCCUAGCUAGGCAUAAAAGCGAAGAUAGAUCUAAGCAGUGCCAUCUUUGGCACUCGGAGAGGAUCUCCUUUCUAUGGCAUUCAUUCUUCUAUUUAGGGUAAGCACGUUGCCAUUAAUGGAAUAAGUAAGAUUAAGCACAUUACGGAAGUUUGCCUCUAAGCUAGACUUCAUCUCUUUGAUAAUUUCAUUUUGAUAAAAGCACAAGAGAGUAGUUGAUUCAACCUUAUCAUUCAUAGGAUUUCCAAAUAUGGUUUUCAUUUUUUCAUAGGUAUAUAGCAUCCCCUUCAAGAAAACCUUGUUCAAAAAUAGAAUCUAAAACUUUUUUGAAAGAAGCGGGUAAGCCAACAUUGAAACUUUUUAAGUAAACUUCAAUUUGAUAUUGUGGCACAUAGCUAGCCCGAAUCCUUAAUAACCUAUCCCAAGCAUCUUUUAAAGACUCAUCAAGUAAAUAACGAAAAAUUCCAGAGUCAUCCUCAUCAAAAUUAUUUAAGCUCUCAUUGGUGACCCCGGUGGGUCUUUCUAUAGCAUCAUUAUUCAUGAGCUUAGAGAGGAUAGAGAGGUUAUCCAAGGUACUAGAACCUUGGAAAGGGCCCUUAGUUCUUUUUGAUUCGGCCAUGGCAACGGAAAGACAAGCGAGCGAAAGAGAGAGGAGGAGAUUGGGAAAGAGAGGGCGAAUAAAACGACAAGGGUCAAAUGGGGGAGAGGAAAACGAGAGGCAAAUGGCAAAUAUCUAAAUACGAGGGAGAUGAGUUUGUGAUGGGUACUUGGUAUGUCUUGACUUGAGCGAAGACCUCCCCGGCAACGGCGCCAGAAAUCCUUCUUGCUAUGUCUUGAGCUUGCGUUGGUUUUCCUUGAAGAGGAAAGGGUGAUGCAGCAAUAGUAGCGUAAGUAUUUCCCUCAGUUUUUGAGAACCAAGGUAUCAAUCCAGUAGGAGGCUCCUCAAAAGUCCCAAGCACCUACACAAACAAACAAAGAACUCGCAACCAACGCAAUAAAGGGGUUGUCAAUCCCUUCAUGGCCACUUGCGAAAGUGAGAUCUAAUAGACAUAGUAUGAUAAGAUAAAUAUAUUUUUGGUAUUUUAUAAUAUAGAUGCAAAAAGUAAAGAUGCAAAUAAAAAUAAUUGGAAGCAAAUAUGAGAAGAGAUAGACUCGGGGGCCAUAGAUUUCACUAGUGGCUUCUCUCAAGAUAGCAUAAUAUUACGGUGGGUGAACAAAUUAUUGUCGAGCAAUUGAUAGAAAAGUGAAUAAUUAUGAGAUUAUCUAGGCAUGAUCAUGUAUAUAGGCAUCACGUCCGUAACAAGUAGACCGACUCCUGCCUGCAUCUACUACUAUUACUCCACACAUCGACCGACUGCUGCCUGCAUCUAGAGUAUUAAGUUCAUAAAGAACAGAGUAACGCAUUAAGCAAGAUGACAUGAUGUAGAGGGAUAAACUCAUGCAAUAUGAUAUAAACCCCAUCUUUUUAUCCUCGAUGGUAACAAUACAAUACGUGCCUUGCAACCCUUUCUAUCACUCGGUAAGGACACCGCAAGAUUGAACCCAAAGCUAAGCACUUCUCCCAUGGCAAGAAAGAUCAAUCUAGUAGGCCAAACCAAACUGAUAAUUCGAAGAGACUUGCUAAGAUAACUCAAUCAUACAUAAAAGAAUUCAGAGGAGAUUCAAAUAUUUCUCAUAGAUAAACUUGAUCAUAAACCCACAAUUCAUCGGAUCUCGACAAACACACGGCAAAAAGAGUUUACAUCGAAUAGAUCUCCACAAGAGAGGGGGAGAACAUUGUAUUGAGAUCCAAAAAGAGAGAAGAAGCCAUCUAGCUAAUAACUCUGGACCCGAAGUUCUGUGGUAAACUACUCAGAACUCAUCGGAGGGGCUAUGGUGUUGAUGUAGAAGCCCUCCGUGGUCGAUUCCCCCUCCGGCAGAGCAUCGGUGAAGGCCACAAGAUGGGAUCUCGCGGAUACAGAAUGUUACGGCAGUGGAAAUUGUGUUUCGUUGGCUCCUUGGAUGUUUUCGGGGUAUGUAGGCUUAUAUAGGAGGAAGAAGUUCGUCGGUGGCCGCCCGAGGGGCCCAUGAGACAGGGGGCUCGCCCUACCCUCUCGUGGCCGCCUCGGCUGCUUCUUGACUUGCACUCCAAGUCCUCUGGAUCAUGUUCGUUCCAAAAAUCACGCUCUCGAAGGUUUCAUUCCGUUUGGACUCCAUUUGAUAUUCCUUUUCUUCGAAAUACUGAAAUAGGCAAAAAAAAUUAGCAAUACGGGUUGGGCCUCCGGUUAGUAGGUUAGUCCCAAAAAUGAUAUAAAUGUGUAAAAUAAAGCCCAUAAACAUCCAAAAGGGGUAAUAUAAUAGCAUGGAACAAUCAAAAAUUAUAGAUAUGUUGGAGACGUAUCAAGCAUCCCCAAGCUUAAUUCCUGCUCGUGCUCGAGUUGGUAAAUGAUAAAAAUGGAAUUUUUGAUGUGGAAUGCUACCUAGCAUAAUGCUCAAUGUAAUUUUCUUUAUUGUGGCAUGAAUGUUCAGAUCCAAAUGAUACAAAAUAGAAGUUCAUAUUAACAUGAAAAUAGUGAUACUUCAAGCAUACUAAUCAAAGUAAUCAUGUCUUCUCAAAAUAACAUGGCCAAAGAAAGUUAUCCCUACAAAAUCACAUAGUCUGGCUGUUGCUCUAUCUUCAUCACACAAAGUAUUUAAUCAUGCACAACCCCCAUGAAAAGCCAAGCAAUUGUUUCAUACUUUAAUAAUCUCAAACUCUUUCAACUUUCACGCAAUACAUGAGCGUGAGCCAUGGACAUAGCACUAUAUGUGGAAUAGAAUGGUGGUUGUGGAGAAGACAAAAAAGGAGAAGAUAGUCUCACAUCAACUAGGCGUAUCAACGGGCUAAAAAAAGAUACCGCGAGCACGAUCUUUUUCAAUAAAAUCAUCGCGCAAUAAAUCAACAAAAGCUAAAGUCAUUUCGCGUUCCCCUUCUAACUUACCUACUACUGUACCGGAGUGGAUAUGAUCUCCCCCAGACAUACGCAAUGCUUUAGCUAAUACACGGAAAUGCAUACCAUGAUUUUUCUGUCUAUCAAUAACUGCAUGCAUUGCACGGUGAAUGUGAAGAAGUGGGCCAUUGUCCCGGCAAUACUGAACCAAAGUAGUAUUUGCGGUGAAUCCCCCAGUUAAGUAGUCAUGCAUUACAAUAGGAACCCCUAAUUCUCUUGCAAAUACAGCUCUCUUAAUCAUUUCUUCACAUGUACCCGCAGUCGCAUUCAAGUAAUGCCCCUUGAUUUCACCGGUUUCGGUCUGUGAUUUAUAAAUAGCUUCGGCACAAAAGACAAAACGGA
rnacentral:lncRNA from 1 species